UUCCGAUCUCUAUUUGAUGGUUUAACAGUAUUAAGUGAAAGUUAGGCAGUAGAUAACUUAGAUAAUGAGUGAUACUUGCAAACAGAUUUUAUGAAAUGGAUCUAGAUAUAAAUUGAAAUGGAGCCAAAGUAAUGAGAUGAGUUACCAAACUAUAAAGAGGCAUCUGUCAGAAGAAUUAUGGAUACAAAGAAGAAGAGAAUGGACUAACAUUAGGAAUGAAAACUCUUCCAAAAUUAUCUCCAUCAUGUUGAUGGUGAAUAAUGGAGGAAUGAAAUCUACUUCAUUCCUCCAUUAUACACAAAUAUCAGUACUAAGGCAGGAGCUUAAAAUUAUUAAUAAAAUAAUUAUAAGUAAGGGAC
rnacentral:lncRNA from 1 species